rnacentral:rRNA from 1 species
UACGUAGGGGGCAAGCGUUGUCCGGAUUUACUGGGCGUAAAGAGCGUGUAGGCGGCCACGCAGGUCCGUUGUGAAAACUGGAGGCUCAACCUCCAGCUGUCGACGGAAACCGUGUGGCUAGAGUCCGGAAGAGGAGAGUGGAAUUCCUGGUGUAGCGGUGAAAUGCGCAGAUAUCAGGAAGAACACCAAUGGCGAAGGCAGCUCUCUGGGACGUUACUGACGCUGAGACGCGAAAGCGUGGGGAGCAAACAGG